rnacentral:lncRNA from 1 species
UAGGAACGACGUUUUUACAACAGCAAUGGCUACCCGCAUUUUCACCUAACCUGAGCGCAAAAGAAGCUGCGCACAAACUUUUUCCAAGUCCCUGUAAAGCUCCUUCUUUCUCUGUAAAAGCCACUUUCAAAGCAACACUUUGUAAGGCAACAUCAAUAAUCGCCGAUCCGCCCAACGACACUGUUAAGUGCUGACCUGGGCUUCUGGGGCCAGACUCUCACCGCACCCCGAACCGCAGCAACCAGCGGUCACGAACCUGCACCCAACGACUGCUCACGAAUGGAGCCGACCCAAGACCGUCACCACCACAAUUCCAACGAUACGGUACGGCGCUCUUGCGCCAUAUACGGCGGCGCCUUGCGUCCCAUUGCCCGUGCCCUAUCGAAUAACGUGCGAAUCGGUAACCAUAUCGAAGACCUUUGUGCGCCCACAGCACCCAAGACUUACCUCCGCCCAGGUGUCACCCCACGGCACCCAUUCCCCCCAUGCCACCUUGCGUAACGCGCUGGCCCCUCUGGGCGCGCCA